UCUCAGAAACUGGCAUGACUUCCUUUGGGA
rnacentral:piRNA from 1 species